ACGGAUGGCCAUGCGGCGCAUUAGCUAGUUGGCGGGGUAACGGCCCACCAAGGCGACGAUGCGUAGGGGUUCUGAGAGGAAGGUCCCCCACACUGGUACUGAGACACGGACCAGACUCCUACGGGAGGCAGCAGUGAGGAAUAUUGGUCAAUGGGCGCGAGCCUGAACCAGCCAAGUCGCGUGAGGGAAGACGGUCCUAUGGAUUGUAAACCUCUUUUGUCGGGGAGCAAAAGACGCCACGCGUGGCGUUCCGAGAGUACCCGAAGAAAAAGCAUCGGCUAACUCCGUGCCAGCAGCCGCGGUAAUACGGAGGAUGCGAGCGUUAUCCGGAUUUAUUGGGUUUAAAGGGUGCGCAGGCGGAAGAUCAAGUCAGCGGUAAAAUUGAGAGGCUCAACCUCUUCGAGCCGUUGAAACUGGUUUUCUUGAGUGAGCGAGAAGUAUGCGGAAUGCGUGGUGUAGCGGUGAAAUGCAUAGAUAUCACGCAGAACUCCGAUUGCGAAGGCAGCAUACCGGCGCUCAACUGACGCUCAUGCACGAAAGUGUGGGUAUCGAACAGGAUUAGAUACCCUGGUAGUCCACACAGUAAACGAUGAAUACUAAUUGUUCGGGGAGAAUGAUCCCUGA
rnacentral:rRNA from 1 species